GACACGACCGUACCGCAAACCGACACUGGUGCGCGAGAUGAGUAUUCUAAGGCGCUUGAGAGAACUCAGGAGAAGGAACUCGGCAAAUUGACACCGUAACUUCGGAAGAAGGUGUGCCUUUAGUAGGUGAACCAUUUACUUGGGGAGCCCAAUGAGGCUGCAAAAAAUCGGUGGCUGCAACUGUUUAUUAAAAACACAGCACUCUGCUAGGACGAAAGUCGACGUAUAGGGUGUGACGCCUGCCCGGUGCUGGAAGAUUAGAUGAUGGGGUGCAAGCUCUUGAUUGAAGUCCCAGUAAACGGCGGCCGUAACUAUAACGGUCCUAAGGUAGCGAAAUUCCUUGUCGGGUAAGUUCCGACCUGCACGAAUGGCGUAAUGAUGGCCACACUGUCUCCUCCUGAGACUCAGCGAAGUUGAAAUGUUUGUGAUGAUGCAAUCUCCCCGCGGAAAGACGGAAAGACCCCAUGAACCUUUACUGUAGCUUUGUAUUGGACUUUGAACAGAUCUGUGUAGGAUAGGUGGGAGGCUUUGAAGUGUGGUCGCUAGAUCGCAUGGAGCCAACGUUGAAAUACCACCCUGGUGUGUUUGAGGUUCUAACCUAGGUCCAUUAUCUGGAUCGGGGACAGUGCAUGGUAGGCAGUUUGACUGGGGCGGUCUCCUCCCAAAGUGUAACGGAGGAGUUCGAAGGUACGCUAGGUACGGUCGGACAUCGUGCUAAUAGUGCAAUGGCAUAAGCGUGCUUAACUGCGAGACUGACAAGUCGAGCAGAUGCGAAAGCAGGACAUAGUGAUCCGGUGGUUCUGUAUGGAAGGGCCAUCGCUCAACGGAUAAAAGGUACUCUGGGGAUAACAGGCUGGUACCGCCCAAGAGUUCAUAUCGACGGCGGUGUUUGGCACCUCGAUGUCGGCUCAUCUCAUCCUGGGGCUGUAGCCGGUCCCAAGGGUAUGGCUGUUCGCCAUUUAAAGAGGUACGUGAGCUGGGUUUAAAACGUCGUGAGACAGUUUGGUCCCUAUCUUCCGUGGGCGCUGCAGAUUUGAGGAAGCCUGCUCCUAGUACGAGAGGACCGGAGUGGACGAACCUCUGGUGUAUCGGUUGUCACGCCAGUGGCAUUGCCGAGUAGCUAAGUUCGGAAGAGAUAACCGCUGAAAGCAUCUAAGCGGGAAACUCGUUUCAAGAUUAGAUCUGCCGGGGCCUUGAGCCCCCUAAAGAGUCGUUCAAGACCAGGACGUUGAUAGGUCAGGUGUGGAAGUGAAA
rnacentral:rRNA from 1 species